rnacentral:lncRNA from 1 species
CGAGAGUCAGAACAUACCAAACCAAAUAUGUUAUAACCACUAUUGUCAAUCAGAUCACAGAAAAUAAUGUCAUAGCCACUGUUUGACAACAUUGCAUAUCACAAAACAAUAGUAAAUUGUUCAAAUUCCACUAAGCCAUAUCCUAUAUUGACAUCACUUUACACUAAAUAGUGUAGUAUAGAACAAUAGCGAUUCAUUCAAAUUCAACUAUACUACAAUGCUAUAAUGUUGCUAUAGCCGCUAUUAGAGAACAUUGGCUAUACCAAAGACGCAAUGGCACCGAUCAAAAUGGCUACUGAUAACAGAAAUAAACAAUUGCAAAUAGUUAUUAAUAACAUACCAUUGCCAAUUCCAGGCACAAUAGUUCAAAUCACAAAAAGUCUUGCGAAUUCAAAAAAAAAAACAUAACAAUAAGGUUCAAUAAGUUCACCACUUUGAGUCAACCACAUUAUUCAACAAAAAAACAUCCAAAAAAAAAAGACCUAGGAAGUGUCCCAUGGUUUGGGUUCAGGGAGUGCAACAACCAUACCUUGAAGAUCGUGAUUAAGAAGAACCUGACAACCAAGUCUGGAAUGCUUAUUAAGAACCCUAAGCCUGGAAUUAUGUUUAAGAACAUAUUCUUCGUCGUAAGUCCUAGGUGGAAGCUUAUCAAGCCAUUCUUGAGCGAUGUUGAUUUCGCAGUGAGCUGAACAAGCGUCGAUCUCUUCGAGACGGUGAGAAUCAGGGUCGAUUAAGCCCGUGUUGACUAGGGCUCUCAAGAGGGUUUGGCCCGUUAGGCCACAUAACAAUAAGGUUCAAUAAGUUCACCACUUUGAGUCAACCACAUUAUUCAACAAAAAAACAUCCAAAAAAAAAAGACCUAGGAAGUGUCCCAUGGUUUGGGUUCAGGGAGUGCAACAACCAUACCUUGAAGAUCGUGAUUAAGAAGAACCUGACAACCAAGUCUGGAAUGCUUAUUAAGAACCCUAAGCCUGGAAUUAUGUUUAAGAACAUAUUCUUCGUCGUAAGUCCUAG